UACGUAGGGGCAAGCGUUGUCCGGAAUCAUUGGGCGUAAAGCGCGUGUAGGCGGCUCGGUAAGUCCGCUCUGAAAGUCCGGGGCUCAACCCGGGCGAGGCGGGUGGAUACUGUCGAGCUCGAGUCCGGAAGAGGCGAGUGGAAUUCCUGGUGUAGCGGUGAAAUGCGCAGAUAUCAGGAGGAACACCGAUGGCGAAGGCAGGUCUCUGGGCCACUACUGACGCUGAGAAGCGAAAGCAUGGGGAGCGAACAGG
rnacentral:rRNA from 1 species